rnacentral:rRNA from 1 species
CCCUUAGAUGUCCUGGGCCGCACGCGCGUUACACUGAUGCAUUCAACGAGCUUAUAACCUUGGCCGAGAGGCCUGGGCAAUCUUGUUAACGUGCAACGUGAUAGGGAUAGAUUAUUGAAAUUAUUAAUCUUGAACGAGGAAUUCCUAGUAAACGCAGAUCAUCAAUCUGCAUUGAUUACGUCCCUGCCCUUUGUACACACCGCCCGUCGCACCUACCGAUUGGAUGGUCCGGUGAAGCCUCGGGAUUGUGGUUCUUGCCGCUUUAUUGUGGCGUGACCGCGAGAACUUGUCUAAACCUUAUCAUCUAGAGGAAGGUGAAGUCGUAACA